rnacentral:lncRNA from 1 species
ACCUGCCCUCCCAGGCGUUGUCCCUCCGGUCCCAGAUGGGCCCACUGCCUUCUGCCACCCCAGCCUCAGGUGAGACUGAUCGGAGCAAGGUAUGGACUUGCUAGGUAUUAAAAAACAAACAAAAAAGGAACUACUUGGGGACUGCCCCAGCCCUGUACCUCCAGGAAGAAAGACAAUUGCCUGGCCUAGCUGAGACUUGACCUCCAGCGGGCCCUGCUCCCCACCCUCCCUCCCACCCCCUUUCUCUCCCUCUUCUGCAGGGCUGGAGGGCAACCCCAGGGCUGCUUCCCUCUGGAGUUUCUCUCUCCCUCAAGGAAUCUGAUUCACAAAAGUAAAAUUCUCACAGAAAACUCCAGAAUCCCUAGAAAGAAAUCCUUGGAACCCAGUGUGGGAAAUAUUACUCUCUCUGGGUAUUUUGUCUCUUUUUGAACAUCUCCUGAGCGUCUGCUCAUCUCCACAAGAAGUACAUGGAGGUGGGAAGGGGGGAGAUACCAGUGUAGCAUGUUCUUCCCGUAAUAAUAGAACUCUAGAGCUAGAAGAGAUUUCAGAGAUCAACUAAUGCAACCCCUCUUUUUUACAGGAUAGUCUGAGGUUCAAGGAGGAAAACUGGUCUGUCCAGUGAGUUCUAAUAACUAAGGCAGGGCCGGGGGGGAUUUAGCUCUGGAUGUCCCAGUAGGGUAGUCUAUCACGUUCCAGGGGUUUAAAGCAGGGGCUCUGACUUGGAUGGACCUGAGUUCAAAGUCUGGCUCAGCUUGAGAUUUGGCAAGUAUUUAAAGCUUCUGUUGGCCUCAGUUUCAUCAUUUGUAGAAUGGGGAUGAUAGUGAUCACCUCACAGGAUCAAUACAUGAGAUAAUGUGUGUCAGUGUCUGACAUGCAUUACAUUAGCACAUAAGCUCCCUGAAGGCAAGGGCUUGGUUUCACCUACUGCUGUAACCUCAGAGCCUAGAACAUGCCCUGCCCAGAGCAGCAGUCAAUAAAUACCUAUUGAGUGGAUGAAAGCAGCAUAUGGUUCUUACAUUAUUGCCCAGAGUAUUUUCUUAUGCAGCUUCAGUCCCCGUUUCUUUUCUUCUCCUGGACACCUUUGUCUGCCUACUCCUUGUAGCAGUGUGGAUUGUACAUGAACAUUCCUGCACACACACCCACACCUGCACGUCCCUGUGCUGCUCUGCUGCUGUCUGUCCUGUGUGUCUUCUCACCUGUAGGGGGAGAAGGGAACCAUGAGGUUGAAUCCAAUCCUUACUUUCCUACCCAACACCCCCUGCCCCACCCCCACCACUGCCAUCCCAUUGGGUGAUCACAUUCUUGCCCCUAUGUACCUGAAAUCCUGCCCCCCCCCCCCAUAAUAUCCUUGGUGUCGCCUAGCAAGCCAGGGGUGGUUUAAAAAAAAAAAAAAUCACCACCAGUUUUUGCUUUCCAAGGAGGGCUGUCCACUUAUUUUUGUUUUGUCUGAUUCAAAACGAACUGACGCAAUUCCCCUCUGCUCUGACAAAUAGGGACCCUCACCAAAGAAGGAAACAGAGCCAGAGUGAGAAGAGAGCAGGUCGGAGGCUUUCUGAAGACUUCUAUGGUUCCCAUUAGAGCACAGACAGCUGGACAGUUCUCUCCUGGGUUCAGGCCUGGAGUUUCAGGAAAACACAAAGACUCAGAGACGUGCCUUCAUUUGAGUCAUUUGGGUGGAGUUGCUGUUUUUAUCUGUGUUAUCUUCCCCAUUUCCCUCUGCUUCCGAGCUGGAAGCAGUGAGCAGAGAGUGGGAAUACCUACCCGCUUUCUCCUGCCUUUGGAGUCUAGGACACUGAGGCAAGAUACAGAGAAAACGCUACAGUUCCUCUCAAAUCCUGCUUUGUCCCCUUUCCACCCGCCUGCCCCCACCCCCUGCAUUUAGGGAUUUCAUUCAUUUUGAACUAGUGAUCAUCUUGAGGAGGAAAAUGCAGGAAACUGAUAGACUAGAUUAUAAUACAGUGUAAAUAACUCAACCCUGCAAAUUAACAUAGGCCCACAAGCCUGGACCUGAAAGAAGCAGACCACAAGCAGGGAAGAAUGUGUCUAAUAGUAGCAAAUAACCGUAACAACAAAUAAGGUCUAUGGUCUGCCAGGGACUGGAUUGGUGUGACCAAAAGACAAAUGGUAAAGUCUGUAGGGGUUGGGUGUUUGUUUGUGCACUCCCUUGAUGUGUAUGACCAAAGAACAGAUUCCGUUUGCUUUCACCUUCUUUUUAAUAACUGAACAAGGGUCUCCGUUUAUUAAAUUAAUGGAAAUGUUGGCUCUGUGCAGGUAAGUAGUUUCCAUCCUUUUGAGGUUGGCCUCCCCCUGUUUGAGCUCAGAUCUUACUAGGCACAGUGCCUGAUGCCAGUAAGUGUCCCGUACCCCUGCCACUGCCCACCAGCCAAGCAGAGAGGCCAGGCAGGGUGGUCCACCCAGUGGGGUUCCAGUGGGCUGAAGCAGGGGGCAAGGAACAACUCUUACCACAAUUAUGGGCGCUGGAUGUACCUACCCCAUUGAGAAUGCGCCAUGCACAUCAAGUUCAAUAAACUAAUGCAGAGGUCUAUUAUGAACUAAAUUCCAUGCCCUGCCCACCCCUAAUUUGUAGGUUGAAAUCCAAUCCCCAAUAUGAUGGUAUCAGGAGGUGGGGCCUUUGGAAGGUGAAUGGGUCAUGAGGAUGGAGCCCUCAUGAAUGGGAUUAGUGCCCUCAGAAAAAAAGACCUUGGAGAGCUCUCUCACCCCUCUGCCACAUGAAGACACAGGGAGAAGACAGCCAUCUUCAAAACAGGAAAAUGGGACCUCACCAGACACUGAAUCAGCUGGUCCUUUGGUUUUGGAUUUCCCAGCCUCCAGAACUGAGAAGUAACGGUUGCUUAAGCUACCCAGUCUAUGGUGGUGUUGUUAGAGCAGCUCCAACAGACUAAGACAGAGUCUCAGAGCAUUACAGGAGCGAGAAAGAGUCUGAGGUGGUCACGAGGGCUGGAGUGCGUAGCAGGGAGUCACAGAGCUGGGGAGGUUCUCCCCUAGCCUGGGACUUAACCCCAAGAAGCUUGCUUCUGCUUGGGCCACAGGAGCCACAUAAAAACCCUGCCUGCUCAUUAGUUCAGUGUCUACAGCUUGGUCUGCCCCAGACAUUGGCUCCCACUUGGUCCUGUUAGAAAUGAGCCCAUCAGCCCACUCAAAUGAGGGACACGGAAACUCAGCACAGUGAAGUGAGGCUUUAAUCAAUGUCUUGCGAGAGCAGGUGUCUGAUGGACAAGCACACUCAGGGCAGUUACAGCAGAUAAUUUAUCUCCUACCAUGAAAGUCCCUCCCCUGAUUCCUCAUUGGCUGAGAACUACAGAGGUUACAGACGUACCUGGAAGUUGUCUAUGCCCAUAUAAGGCAAAAAGUAGUUUGAUUGGAACAAGUGUACAUUCCCUGAGGUGACCCAGGGAUUUUCAGUCCCUCCUCCCUUUGUUCUUUUGCAUACGCUCAUCGCAAAUCCUGCAAAAAUAAGCCCACGAAAUGGAGAGGGGAAGAAGAACCAGGAAGUGAAGUGUCUAAAGGUUGGGGGCUCCAUUUUGGGGGGGGGGGGAGUUGUACAUUCUUCCAAUAGGUUGUAAACCUACUGUUAACUAGACAGCACGGCUUCUAUUUGGUAUUUCUGAAAAUGAAUCAUCUCCCUUACUUCUCACAGUCCCAGGCUGUCUCUCAGUUCAGCUUUCCAGGCUUGCCGUACCUGGGACUUGGCAGCCUGGUUCCAUUUCUGCUUCAUGACUGUCUUGGAAAUCCCAUAACCUCAGUCACCAACAAUUACCCUCUAAGCACCAAAAUCUACCUCAGACCCUACAUCCAACUCAAGUGUCUGGGACACCACAACAUGCCAGACUCCUAGUGGGGGUAGGGAGGGGGCUUGUGGGGAAGAAGGAGUGGAUCAAGAUGGGCAAGGAGGAGAAUGGUUUGGGUGAAUAUUAGGAAGAGAGUUAAAAAUACACUCCUGUGCCAUGUGGCAUGAGUGGGUUGGGUUCUUUAAAGGGCUACCAGAGUGAGAUUGAAACAUUAAAUUGAUUUCUAACACCCUUUGGCAUAAGCAGAGAGUCCCUGCUGUGAACCCCAAUGAUGUGGCCUCCAUCUGAUUCUUUUGGCUUUUAGGUGUGACCUCCAAGGAAUGACAGAAGGGAAUGAUUUUUGAGCUGAGAAGAAUGUAUUCAAACUCCAUGCAGUGUUGCGAAAGGUCUUUUUUUGUUAGCUCUGUUUUUGCUCUGAGAAGGUCUUUUUUUUUUUUUUUUCUUUUUACUUCUGGAGGUCUUGAUGCUUACAGCAAUCACCUGGCUUUUUCUGGUCUGGAAGUCGUAUCUGUCUCCUCACCAAGGGCCUUGCUUCCACUUCAUAACAUCCUCCAUUUCAACUCUCCAUACUUGUCAGCAGAGGAUACACACGUAGAAAACAAUCAGAUCUAUGAACCAAGCUAUCAAUAUUUGCCUUCCUGCCCCGUCAUGGGUCAUAGGCUCUGACGCAGAAGUGAUGCUGUAAGAGUCUGCCUGGUUACCCCACUCACCUCCCCAGAAAGUGCACGCUGGUCACUCAUGUUGAUCCAAACAGAAAACAGCCCUUUGACGUCACCCCAGCUUUGCCUCCUCUUUCUCCACAAGCCCAACCUUGGAAAAUUUCCUAUUCGGCUUUAAAAAAAAAUGAAUGAUAACCUGAAUGGAAACAGAGAUAGCCUAUUUAUCAGAAUUUCAUAUGAUACAAAAUGGAAUCACUAAAAAUAGGGUAAAGGUGUAAGGUUCCAAGUCAACCUCGACAGGACUCGACUUUUAACAAGAUGACAUUUACUAGUGGUCAAUGAAAAGUGCCCCCAAAAUAGCACAGCUAUAUAAUUUCAGAGUUUGAAAGAUAGAACUAACAGAGCUACACAUUGACCUGCAAGCUCAGUAGGAGUCAAGGGCACAACGUGACUCUCAAAAAACCUAAAGCAAGUUUAGGCUGCAUCAUCAGAAAUGUCAAGAACAAGAGAAGGAGGUGAUGAUCCCGUUCUUCUCGGCUCUGCUGGGCCACACCUGACGUGUUGUGUUUCCCUUCUGACACCACUCCAGGAUGAACACUGACAAAAACUAUCUUGUAUUAGAGGAGUGGAAACAGGAAGACAACGAAUCUGGAAACUAUAACAAGCGAGGACCAUGAAAGAACGAAGGAAGUUUAACGCCAAAGAGGAAAAAGAUUUAAGGGGGCCUGAAAGCUGUUUUUCAAGUAUGUUAACGACUAACCUGUACACAAGAGAUAAAGCUUCCCUGUCCCCAACUCUAGAGGACAAAGUAGGUCCUCUGAGUUGGGGAGCUAAAUUUCAGUCUGGCCUGAAGAAGAAUUUUCAUUCCCAACUGUGAGAAUUGUCCAAAACUAGGAUGGUCUGCCGGAUGAGGUAAUGAUUCCCCAUUACUUGAGGUAUUCAGGCAAAAGCUGGAGGUUCACAUAUGAGGGAUGCUAAAGAGAGAAUUGUCGAAUCCGUCCGAGGAGUAGUUCAGAUCCUUUCAAUUCACAGCCACUCUGACUCUAGGGAUUGUUAUUAUAAUUUAUUAUACUGUCCCCUACAUGAAAGUAUCAAAUUCCCUUUGUUAAUGCAAUAAAGCUGAUGAAUUUCGG